rnacentral:rRNA from 1 species
GACGAACGCUGGCGGCGUGCUUAACACAUGCCAGUCGAACGGAAAGGCCCUGCUUGCAGGGUACUCGAGUGGCGAACGGGUGAGUAACACGUGGGUGAUCUGCCCUGCACUUCGGGAUAAGCCUGGGAAACUGGGUCUAAUACCGGAUAGGAGCCAUUUUUAGUGUGAUGGUUGGAAAGUUUUUUCGGUGUAGGAUGAGCUCGCGGCCUAUCAGCUUGUUGGUGGGGUAAUGGCCUACCAAGGCGGCGACGGGUAGCCGGCCUGAGAGGGUGGACGGCCACAUUGGGACUGAGAUACGGCCCAGACUCCUACGGGAGGCAGCAGUGGGGAAUAUUGCACAAUGGGCGCAAGCCUGAUGCAGCGACGCCGCGUGGGGGAUGACGGCCUUCGGGUUGUAAACUCCUUUCGCUAGGGACGAAGCUUUUUGUGACGGUACCUAGAUAAGGAGCACCGGCUAACUACGUG